GACGGAGGAUGCAAGCGUUAUCCGGAAUUAUUGGGCGUAAAGCGUCCGCAGGUGGACAUACAAGUCGGCUGUCAAAGUGCAGAGCUUAACUCUGUAAAGGCGGUGGAAACUGUAGGUCUUGAGUAUGGUAGGGGUAGAGGGAAUUCCCGGUGUAGCGGUGAAAUGCGUAGAUAUCGGGAAGAACACCAGUGGCGAAAGCGCUCUACUGGGCCAUAACUGACACUGAGGGACGAAAGCUAGGGGAGCGAAAGGG
rnacentral:rRNA from 1 species